GUUAUUUUGGACUACGCUAUUAGUCUAAGUUCUUCAAUGGACUACGUUAUUUUGGUCAAGACACCUACAGAUACUCCUCAAGUCUGUAGCCCUGUC
rnacentral:sRNA from 14 species